UGCGAGUGGAAAUUGAGCUCUCAGAUUAUUCUCUUCCAUGGCGUUCUCUAUGCAACUUUAUCGUCUCCCCACUCGUACAGAUGCGGCCUCGCCGGAGAAUUUCGCCGGCGUUCGAUCAGUCCGGUACAGAAAGCCUAUGUCCGUGAGAUGCGACGGCGAUUCUUCUUCUUCUUCUUCGGCGGCUGUCGAUUCCAAUUUUGACGCCAAGGUGUUCCGGAGGAACUUGACGAAGAGCGAGAAUUACAACCGCAGAGGCUUUGGUUACAAAGACGAGACUCUGGCGCUCAUGAAUCGCGAGUAUACGAGUGAUAUCAUAAAGACUCUGAAAGAAAAUGGAUUUGAGUAUACGUGGGGAGAUGUUACUGUAAAACUGGCGGAAGCAUAUGGAUUUUGUUGGGGAGUUGAGCGAGCCGUCCAGAUUGCUUAUGAAGCGAGAAAACAAUAUCCUGAUGAGAAAAUAUGGUUAACCAAUGAAAUUAUUCACAACCCAACUGUUAACAAGCGCUUGGAGGAGAUGGAAGUCCAAAACAUUCCACUUGAGGAAGGAAGGAAACAGUUUGAAGUGGUUGAGAAGGGUGAUGUUGUGAUUUUGCCUGCCUUUGGGGCUGCGGUGGAUGAGAUGUUGACAUUGAGUGAAAAAAAGGUGCAAAUCGUUGAUACAACUUGCCCAUGGGUUUCGAAGGUUUGGAAUGUUGUGGACAAGCACAAGAAAGGCGAUUAUGCUUCAAUCAUUCAUGGUAAAUAUGCUCAUGAAGAAACCGUAGCAACAGCGUCCUUUGCAGGAAAAUAUAUAAUUGUAAAGAACAUGGCAGAGGCAACAUAUGUGUGUGACUAUAUUCUUGGAGGUGAACUUGAUGGAUCCAGUUCAACCAAAGAAGAGUUUAUGAAGAAAUUCAAAAAUGCAGUCUCAGAAGGUUUUGACCCAGAUAUUGACCUAUUAAAGGUUGGGAUUGCAAACCAAACAACAAUGCUCAAGGGAGAAACAGAAGAGAUUGGUAAAUUAGUUGAAAGAACCAUGAUGCGCAAGCACGGAGUGGAAAAUGUCAAUGAGCACUUCCUCAGUUUCAAUACAAUAUGCGAUGCUACUCAAGAGCGUCAAGAUGCAAUGUACAAGCUGGUAGAGGGAAAACUGGAUCUCAUGUUAGUUGUUGGUGGAUGGAAUUCCAGUAAUACUUCUCAUCUUCAAGAGAUAGCGGAGGAGCGAGGAAUUCCGUCUUACUGGAUUGAUAGUGAGCAGAGAAUAGGUCCAGGAAACAGAAUAGCUUACAAACUGAAUCAUGGGGAGUUAGUUGAAAAGGAGAACUGGCUACCCAAGGGUCCUAUCACGAUCGGUGUCACAUCCGGGGCCUCAACCCCCGAUAAGGUCGUCGAAGAUGCUCUUAUCAAAGUCUUUGACAUUAAGCGCGAAGAAGCUUUACAGUUUGCAUAAAUUUAUAGGUUAGUAGUUCAAAGAGUUGUAUGAUUGUGAAUGUGCAACUGAAAUGUGGUACCCUCCCUUUCAAUCAUAUAGCCUCUUGUAUCGAAAGAGUAAUGUUGUGCAGUAGUAAAGAUUCUAGUCCUCUACAGAAAUGUAUCACAUAGUUUGAGUGGUUCAACGAGUAUGUCGACCUUCAGUGCCGAUGAAUCGUAUCUGUAAUUUUACUGUUCGGACUCUGAAGUGCACAUGUUCACACUCAAGUUACAGAGAAAAUGUUCGAUUGAAACAGAAAGAGUUGAUCAUCUCUUUUGUUUUUAUUGUGUGGCUUCACUAAUGGGAUCCAUAUGGUUUGGG
rnacentral:misc_RNA from 1 species